GAUGGCCGGGGCUCUUGAGCUAUAAGUGGCACCUCAGGGCCCUGUCGGUCGUCUCGCCAUGCUGCUCCUGGGCCUGCUGCUGCUGCUGCCCCUGCUGGCUGGCGCCCGCCUGCUGUGGAACUGGUGGAAGCUCCGGAGCCUCCACCUCCCGCCUCUUGCCCCGGGCUUCUUGCACCUGCUGCAGCCCGACCUCCCCAUCUAUCUGCUCGGCCUGACUCAGAAAUUCGGGCCCAUCUACAGGCUCCACCUUGGGCUUCAAGAUGUGGUGGUGCUGAACUCCAAAAGGACCAUUGAGGAAGCCAUGGUCAAAAAGUGGGCAGACUUUGCUGGCAGACCUGAGCCACUUACCUACAAGCUGGUGUCUAAGAACUACCCAGACCUGUCCUUGGGAGACUACUCCCUGCUCUGGAAAGCCCACAAGAAGCUCACCCGCUCAGCCCUGCUGCUGGGCAUCCGUGACUCCAUGGAGCCAGUGGUGGAGCAGCUGACCCAAGAGUUCUGCGAGCGCAUGAGAGCCCAGGCCGGCACCCCUGUGGCCAUUGAGGAGGAAUUCUCUCUCCUCACCUGUAGCAUCAUCUGUUACCUCACCUUCGGAGACAAGAUCAAGGAGGACAACUUAAUGCCUGCCUAUUACAAAUGUAUCCAGGAGGUGUUAAAAACCUGGAGCCACUGGUCCAUCCAAAUUGUGGAUGUGAUUCCCUUUCUCAGGUUCUUCCCCAAUCCAGGUCUCCGGAGGCUGAAGCAGGCCAUAGAGAGGAGGGACCACAUCGUGGAGAAGCAGCUGAGGCAGCACAAGGAGAGCCUGGUGGCAGGCCAGUGGAGGGACAUGAUGGACUACAUGCUCCAAGGGGUGGCGCAGCCGAGCGUGGAAGAGGGCUCUGGACAGCUCCUGGAAGGGCACGUGCACAUGGCUGCAGUGGACCUCCUGAUCGGUGGCACUGAGACCACGGCAAACACCCUCUCCUGGGCCGUGGUUUUUUUGCUUCACCACCCUGAGAUUCAGCAGCGACUGCAGGAGGAGCUAGACCACGAACUGGGCCCUGGUGCCUCCAGCUCCCGGGUCCCCUACAAGGACCGUGCACGGCUGCCCUUGCUCAAUGCCACCAUCGCCGAGGUGCUGCGCCUGCGGCCCGUUGUGCCCUUAGCCUUGCCCCACCGCACCACACGGCCCAGCAGGUGACUCCCGAGGGUUGGGGAUGAGUGAGGAAAGCCCGAGCCCAGGGAGGUCCUGGCCAGCCUCUAACUCCAGCCCCCUUCAGCAUCUCCGGCUACGACAUCCCUGAGGGCACAGUCAUCAUCCCAAACUUCAAGGCGCCCACCUGGAUGAGACGGUCUGGGAGAGGCCACAUGAGUUCUGGCCUGAUCGCUUCCUGGAGCCAGGCAAGAACUCCAGAGCUCUGGCCUUCGGCUGCGGGGCCCGUGUGUGCCUGGGCGAGCCGCUGGCGCGCCUGGAGCUCUUCGUGGUGCUGACCCGACUGCUGCAGGCCUUCACGCUGCUGCCCCCCGGGGACGCCCUGCCCUCCCUGCAGCCCCUGCCCCACUGCAGUGUCAUCCUCAAGAUGCAGCCUUUCCAAGUGCGGCUGCAGCCCCGGGGGAUGGGGGCCCACAGCCCGGGCCAGAGCCAGUGAUGGGGCAGGACCGAUGCCGGCCGGGUACCUCAGUUUCUCCUUUAUUGCUCCCGUACGAACCCCUCCCCUCCCCCCUGUAAACACAGUGCUGCGAGAUCGCUGGCAGAGAAGGCUUCCUCCAGAGGCUGGGUGGUGAAGGACCCUGGCUCUUCUCUCGGGGCGACCCCUCAGUGCUCGGCAGUCAUACUGGGGUGCGAGAGGUGGGCAGCAGCUCAGCCUCCCCUCCGCUGGGGAGCGAAAGUUUCUUGGUCUCAGCUUCAUUUCCGUGAAGGGCACCGAGAACUCGAAGCCCUUCCAGUAGUACCAGCUCACUCCCUGGGAAAGGGGUUGUCAAGAGAGAGUCAAAGCCGGAUGUCCCAUCUGCUCCUCCCGUUCCCCUUAAGGAGGUGGCUCCCAGCACUCAACCAACCUCCCCGCACAGCUCCCCUCCUGACCCUCCGCCACAGAGGAUUGAGGCUUAAUCCUGAGCUGGCCCUUUCCAGCCAAUAAAUCAUCUCCAGCUCCCUC
rnacentral:sRNA from 1 species